GCCUAACACAUGCAAGUCGAGCGAAGCACUUUGCUUAGAUUCUUCGGAUGAAGAGGAUUGUGACUGAGCGGCGGACGGGUGAGUAACGCGUGGGUAACCUGCCUCAUACAGGGGGAUAACAGUUAGAAAUGACUGCUAAUACCGCAUAAGACCACAGCACCGCAUGGUGCGGGGGUAAAAACUCCGGUGGUAUGAGAUGGACCCGCGUCUGAUUAGCUAGUUGGUAAGGUAACGGCUUACCAAGGCGACGAUCAGUAGCCGACCUGAGAGGGUGACCGGCCACAUUGGGACUGAGACACGGCCCAAACUCCUACGGGAGGCAGCAGUGGGGAAUAUUGCACAAUGGGGGAAACCCUGAUGCAGCGACGCCGCGUGAGCGAAGAAGUAUUUCGGUAUGUAAAGCUCUAUCAGCAGGGAAGAAAAUGACGGUACCUGACUAAGAAGCACCGGCUAAAUACGUGCCAGCAGCCGCGGUAAUACGUAUGGUGCAAGCGUUAUCCGGAUUUACUGGGUGUAAAGGGAGCGUAGACGGAUGGGCAAGUCUGAUGUGAAAACCCGGGGCUCAACCCCGGGACUGCAUUGGAAACUGUUCAUCUAGAGUGCUGGAGAGGUAAGUGGAAUUCCUAGUGUAGCGGUGAAAUGCGUAGAUAUUAGGAGGAACACCAGUGGCGAAGGCGGCUUACUGGACAGUAACUGACGUUGA
rnacentral:rRNA from 1 species